rnacentral:rRNA from 1 species
CGUCUUAUGGAUGUAAAUGUAAGAUUUGACCUGCUCUAUGUAUAAUAAAUGGCCGCGGUAUAUUGACCGUGCGAAGGUAGCAUAAUAAUUAGGCUAUUAAUUGUGGUCUUGAAUGAAAGGUUGGACGAGGGAAAUACUUUCUUAUUUGCAUUGUUGAAUUUAAAUAAUUAGUAAAAAUGCUAAUAUAAUGUAAAAAGACGAGAAGACCCUGUUGAGUUUUAUAUUUAAUAUAUUUAUUAUAUUUGAUUGGGGCGAUGAUAAAUAAACAAUUUAUGUAAUUGAUCCGCUAUUAGUGAUUAGUAGAAUAAAUUACCACAGGGAUAACAGCAUAAUUUGAUUGGAGAGUUCUUAUUGAUAUUCAAGUUUGUGACCUCGAUGUUGGAUUAAGAUUCCUUCUAGGUGCAGGUGCUUAAGUAGGUGGACUGUUCGUCAAUUAUAUUCUUACA